GCGGUUGGCCUGCAGGUCCAGCAGCCGCAGCUGGGGGGCGUCCCUGAGCGCCGCCCAGGGGAAGGCGGCCAGGCGGUUCCCGGGCAGCCGCAGCUCCCGCAGGCGUCGCAGGCCCCGCAGCAUGAGGGCGUUGAGCUCGCUGAGGGAGUUGUAAGGCAGCCACAGCUGCUCCAGGCGGCGCAGGGGCCUGAAGGCCUCGCCAGGAACCCUGCGUAUGGCCGUCCGCUCCAGGCGCAGUCUGGAGAGGUCUUGCUCUCAGAGCCUUUCACAAUGGUCCCAGGAAGGUGAUUUGGUCUUCACGGUCCUGCAAGACCCCACCCUUACACUGUUACGACCCAUAACAGCCCGCAGCACCCACAGUGCACUAAGAAUGAACAGCAUUAAUAAACCCCAUGAUCGCGUUGUGCACUGUUGCUUUGCAAA